rnacentral:rRNA from 1 species
CCUACGGGAGGCAGCAGUGGGGAAUAUUGCACAAUGGGCGAAAGCCUGCUGCAGCACCGCCGCGUGAGCGAUGCAGGCCUUCGGGUCGUACAGCUCUGUCCUCAAGGAAGAUAAUGACGGUACUUGAGGAGGAAGCCCCGGCUAACUACGUGCCAGCAGCCGCGAUAAUACGUAGGGGGCUAGCGUUAUCCGGAAUUACUGGGCGUAAAGGGUGCGUAGGUGGUUUCUUAAGUCAGAGGUGAAAGGCUACGGCUCAACAGUAUUAAGCCUUGGCAACUGGGGAACGUGAGUGCAGGAGAGGAGAGUGGAAUUCCUAGUGUAGCGGUGAAAUGCGUAGAGAUUAGGAGGAA